GGAGAAGGUAAUAAGGGUUCACGGAGGAUGCCUAGGCGCUUAGAGCCGAUGAAGGGCGUGACCAGACGACGAUACGCCCGGGUGAGCGGUCAAGUACGCUAAGCCCGGGAUGCCCGAAUGGGGAAACCCGGCGGAGUGUUUAAGCUCCGUCAUCUCUGAGGAUUAAUGGGCUCAGAGAGGGGAACCGGGGGAACUGAAACAUCUCAGUACCCUGAGGAAAAGGAAGUAACAACGAUACCCUAAGUAGCGGCGAGCGAACGGGGUUCUGCCCAAACCAUGUAGACCUAACGGCCUGAGAGCUUAUGUCUAUGCGGGGUUGUGGGGCACUCUAGGGACAAUCUCAGUUGUCCCAGGGCGCAGGGGUUCGGCCAGUCGAAAGACCCUGGAACGGGCUGCCAUAGAAGGUGAAAGCCCUGUAGAUGAAGACUGGACCCCGGCCCAGAGUGUUCCCGAGUACCACGGGGCACGAGGAAUCCCGUGGGAAGCUGGGGGGACCACCCUCCAAGGCGAAAUACUCUAAGCGACCGAUAGUGAACCAGUACCGUGAGGGAAAGGUGAAAAGCACCCCGGAAGGGGAGUGUAAAGAC
rnacentral:rRNA from 1 species